GGAUGAAAACCCGAUUUAGGCGAACACUACAACCAACGAAUAUCUAAGAUAUUCUUUUGACUACAACAAUGUUUGCACCCUAACACGAAAUCUUCGAUGUUUGUUUACAUCGCAAGAUAAAUUGUUAAUCUUUGCCAUAAUUCACCGCGAAAUUUGAUAAAAAGCCAAAUAUUGUAACCUAAGGCUAUCAUCCAGAAGCCCGUGACGUCACGGUACACUUUUCCGCACACCUUUGGCGUUUUGGCGUGUGUCUGUACAUAAUUGUGACGGACUAUUACGUACAUCCCAAUCGUUGCCAUUCACGAGCUACUAAAUGUUAAAUGCUGCCAUUUACAAGUUACUAAAUUCUAAAUGUUACACAAGACUUCCCAACGGGGAGGAAUUCCCUCUGGUGAUGAUGCGAUCAACAUUUUGUUUAUCCGCUAAGUAUUUAGUUUAGUUCUUAAUUAAAACCUUAAUUCUAUUCAAGUUUCGAUAUUUACGAAUAUUCUUUAUAUUUUUCUUGCAUAAUUUAUUAAACACAUUAAGAAUAAUCUAAAUUUAAAUAAAUGUAUACCUAUUUUUCGUGUUUUAGAAAGGAGAGGGGGAUGAUCGUUUGCAAGAACGAAAGGGAGGUAAGAAAGGUUGAACCCCUGUUAGUUAUACCUGUAGUUACUCCAGCCUUUUUACCUUCUAGUUUUGCUAUCUUCUUCGUGACACCCGGUAAUUUUAUAAAAUCUCAGCUUUUGUUACUUCAAAAUUGGUAAACUUGAGUUAAACAUCGUAGUUUUCAUUUCCUUGAGACUGAAAGUUUUCAUCCAAUUACGAGGAGCGACGAUUUUGAGCCUUACGAGAGGGAAGGAAAACAAGAGCAAGUUUUCCCACUCGAAGAAGAGUGAAGAAACGCGCUUUUUCAAGGUUUGAAGGCAGCCAUUGUAGCAUAAAAGUUUGCUCGAAAUAUGAUGACCGCUGCUCUGCCGAAAGAAGUUUUACAUGAUAGUACAUCAUUAGCAAAUUUUUUAAAACUACAAGGAGUACCUGAAGAUGCAGCUAAUGCCCUGAAAGCACAACCUGCCAUUGAUGCAUUGGAUUAUGGCUGUAGCUUGGUUUAGAAAAAUGCUUCUCAAUAGCGAAAUCACUAAGAAAUAUUCUAGUGCAAGGGCCAAAACAGCUGCAGUUGUUAAAGAAAUGAGUAUGAAAAAUAAAUCUUCAGUUAUUGAUUGCAUUAAAACUGUUCUAUUCUGCCUCUC